AACACCUUAUUCUCAAGUCUACUUACCUUGCUCCUAGCACCUUAUUCCCCUGCUUGCUGAUUCUGACCUCCCUUCCCCCUGAGGUUCUGUACUUUCCUUGCCUGAAUCAAGUUAUCUGUGAACCAAACCAGUAGAGUUGCUAGCAAUUUGUUUCUUCUAGCUUAUUGUUGCAGCCUUUUGAAAGGUUCUUCAACUCCAUUCAUCAAUGUGCACAGCCAUAUUUACGUGCUCUAUCAGUCUAUCUUAGCCUGUUUCAUGUUGCCAUCGACACCCUAAGCAGUUGGAACCAGAGUCUGACGGAGGAAACCGACUCCCAACUUUGGGAGCAAAAUUGGAUUUCACACCCAAUGUUCAACUUUCACGAGCAGCAAUCAACUCCUUCCAAUGUCCUAGGCUUUGACGCCUGGCAAUUGCAAACAUGUUGACGCCUGUUGGUUGCAAACAUAUUUACGAGUCAAGUGAGUAUACAUACAUAAAUGGGAUCAACGUCGUAUACUUGCAAACGUUAUUGAUAUGUUAAGAAGUGAGCCAGCCCAACUAGUUGGGUCGGAGGUGUGCCUAUGCACCCAAUGACCUAGGUUCAAGUUCUCUCUUGGACUAAAUUUGGGUGCCUAUUUCUCUUCUUAAUGAAAAACCACCU
rnacentral:lncRNA from 1 species